AUUGAACGCUGGCGGCAUGCCUUACACAUGCAAGUCGAACGGCAGCACGGGAGCAAUCCUGGUGGCGAGUGGCGAACGGGUGAGUAAUAUAUCGGAACGUGCCCGGUCGUGGGGAUAACGUAGAGAAAUUUACGCUAAUACCGCAUACGAUCUAAGGAUGAAAGCGGGGGAUUCGCAAGAACCUCGCGCGAUUGGAGCGGCUGAUAUCAGAUUAGGUUGUUGGUGAGGUAAAAGCUCACCAAGCCGACGAUCUGUAGCUGGUUUGAGAGAACGACCAGCCACACUGGGACUGAGACACGGCCCAGACUCCUACGGGAGGCAGCAGUGGGGAAUAUUGGACAAUGGGCGAAAGCCUGAUCCAGCAAUGCCGCGUGAGUGAUGAAGGCCUUAGGGUUGUAAAGCUCUUUUACCCGAGAUGAUAAUGACAGUAUCGGGAGAAUAAGACUCC
rnacentral:rRNA from 1 species